UCCAGCGGCUGGAAGAGC
rnacentral:snRNA from 1 species